AUACGUAGGUGACAAGCGUUAUCCGGAUUUACUGGGCGUAAAGGGCGUGUAGGCGGUCUUGCAAGUCAGAAGUGAAAUUCCUGAGCUCAACUCGGGCGCUGCUUCUGAAACUGCAGGACUUGAGUGAUGGAGGGGAUAGCGGAAUUCCUAGUGGUGCGGUAAAAUGCGCAGAUAUUAGGAAGAACACCGGUGGCGAAGGCGGCUUUCUUGACAGUACCUGACGCUGGGGCGCGAAAGCGGGGGGAGAAAACAGGAUUAUAUUCCCUGGUAGGCAACGCCAUAAACGAUAAAUACUAGGGGUAGGGAGUAUCGACACCCUCUGUGCCGCAGUUAACACAAUAAGUAUUCCGCCUGGGGAGUACGGCCGCAAGGUUGAAACUCAAAGGCAUUGACUUGG
rnacentral:rRNA from 1 species